GUCCCGUUCGUCUAGUCGGUCCAGGACACCGGAUUUUCAUUCCGGCAACAUGGGUUCGAAUCCCAUACGGGAUGCCA
rnacentral:tRNA from 1 species